rnacentral:rRNA from 1 species
CACAAGCAGCGGAGCGUGUGGUUUAAUUCGAUGCUACACGAAGAACCUUACCAGGGUUUGACAUGCAAGUGGUAGGAAGCCGAAAGGUGACCGACCCUUCGGGGAGCUUGCACAGGUGCUGCAUGGCUGUCGUCAGCUCGUGUCGUGAGAUGUUCGGUUAAGUCCGCUAACGAGCGCAACCCUCGUCGUAUGUUAUAUGUGUCAUACGAGACUGCCGGUAAAAGCCGGAGGAAGGUGAGGAUGAUGUCAAGUCAGCAUGACCUUUAUAUCCAGGGCUACACACACGCUACAAUGGUCUGUACAAUGGGUAGCCAAGCCGCGAGGCGGAGCCAAUCCUGAAAGCAGGCCUCAGUUCAGAUUGCAGUCUGCAACUCGACUGCAUGAAGCCGGAGUUGCUAGUAACCGCAGGUCAGCAAUACUGCGGUGAAUACGUUCCCGGGUCUU